GGGGACGUAUCGGAUACUGGGCGUAAGCGUGUGUAGGCGGUUCGGAAAGAAAGAUGUGAAAUCCCAGGGCUCAACCUUGGAACUGCAUUUUUAACUGCCGAGCUAGAGUAUGUCAGAGGGGGGUAGAAUUCCACGUGUAGCAGUGAAAUGCGUAGAUAUGUGGAGGAAUACCGAUGGCGAAGGCAGCCCCCUGGGAUAAUACUGACGCUCAGACACGAAAGCGUGGGGAGCAAACAGGAUUAGAUACCCUGGUAGUCCACGCCCUAAACGAUGUCAACUAGCUGUUGGGGCCGUUAGGCCUUAGUAGCGCAGCUAACGCGUGAAGUUGACCGCCUGGGGAGUACGGUCGCAAGAUUAAAACUCAAAGGAAUUGACGGGGACCCGCACAAGCGGUGGAUGAUGUGGAUUAAUUCGAUGCAACGCGAAAAACCUUACCUACCCUUGACAUGUCUGGAAAGCCGAAGAGAUUUGGCCGUGCUCGCAAGAGAACCGGAACACAGGUGCUGCAUGGCUGUCGUCAGCUCGUGUCGUGAGAUGUUGGGUUAAGUCCCGCAACGAGCGCAACCCUUGUCAUUAGUUGCUACGCAAGAGCACUCUAAUGAGACUGCCGGUGACAAACCGGAGGAAGGUGGGGAUGACGUCAAGUCCUCAUGGCCCUUAUGGGUAGGGCUUCACACGUCAUACAAUGGUCGGGACAGAGGGUCGCCAACCCGCGAGGGGGAGCCAAUCUCAGAAACCCGAUCGUAGUCCGGAUCGCAGUCUGCAACUCGACUGCGUGAAGUCGGAAUCGCUAGUAAUCGCGGAUCAGAAUGUCGCGGUGAAUACGUUCCCGGGUCUUGUACACACCGCCCGUCACACCAUGGGGAGUGGGUUUCACCAGAAGUAGGUAGCCUAACCGCAAGGAGGGCGCUUACCACGGUGGGAUUCAUGACUGGGGUGAUCACAAGGAGGGCCCCCCCACACACAAAAAAGGAGGGGGAGAACGCGG
rnacentral:rRNA from 1 species